AGAAUCAACGCUGGCGGCGUGCCUAACACAUGCAAGUCGAACGAGAAAGUGGAGCAAUCCAUGAGUAAAGUGGCGCACGGGUGAGUAACACGUGACUAACCUACCCUUGAGUGGGGAAUAACUUACGGGAAACCGAGGCUAAUACCGCAUAACACCUACGGGUCAAAGGAGCAAUUCGCUUAAGGAGGGGGUCGCGGCAGAUUAGUUAGUUGGCGAGGGUAAUGGCCUACCAAGACGGUGAUCUGUA
rnacentral:rRNA from 1 species